rnacentral:lncRNA from 1 species
CCAGGAGUCAAUGUGUAACAUGUCACUGCUACAUCACAAACACAGGCUCUGGUGACAGCUGCUCCCUAGAGAGGAUAGCAACAUCCCUCAUGUAAAAAAGACAAUGCUGUCAGUAGAAAUGUAUCAGUCCUGUAAAUGGUGUGUUUCUACCUUUAUCACCUCAUCAAACAAGGAAAAAGGAAAGAUACUCCUGCACGUACAGAGGAUAACAAAUUGGGAAUAUCUGAAAAUCUAUGAACUCCACUUCAGUGUAAAUUCAAUGAAAACUCAAAGAGAGAAAGGGAUAACAGGAGCCAGCAGUCCCUCUCACCGCGGCCUAUUUCUACCCCUGCUGCCCAUCCUCAGAGUUCUUUCAGACUGAGCUGACCCAGAGGUAUAUGGAACAGACAAAUCUUUAACACUGAUGUCCUGAUGGUCCUUACAGAAAUGGGGAAAUGAAAGAGGUGCAGUGUGAACAGGAUGGGC